rnacentral:siRNA from 1 species
UCCAAGUUCGGGUUCGGGUUC